rnacentral:rRNA from 1 species
AGAGUUUGAUCCUGGCUCAGGACGAACGCUGGCGGCGUGCCUAAUACAUGCAAGUCGAACGAAACUUUCUUACACCGAAUGCUUGCAUUCACCGUAAGAAGUUGAGUGGCGGACGGGUGAGUAACACGUGGGUAACCUGCCUAAAAGAAGGGGAUAACACUUGGAAACAGGUGCUAAUACCGUAUAUCUCUAAGGAUCGCAUGAUACUUAGAUGAAAGAUGGUUCUGCUAUCGCUUUUAGAUGGACCCGCGGCGUAUUAACUAGUUGGUGGGGUAACGGCCUACCAAGGUGAUGAUACGUAGCCGAACUGAGAGGUUGAUCGGCCACAUUGGGACUGAGACACGGCCCAAACUCCUACGGGAGGCAGCAGUAGGGAAUCUUCCACAAUGGACGCAAGUCUGAUGGAGCAACGCCGCGUGAGUGAAGAAGGUCUUCGGAUCGUAAAACUCUGUUGUUAGAGAAGAACACGAGUGAGAGUAACUGUUCAUUCGAUGACGGUAUCUAACCAGCAAGUCACGGCUAACUACGUGCCAGCAGCCGCGGUAAUACGUAGGUGGCAAGCGUUGUCCGGAUUUAUUGGGCGUAAAGGGAACGCAGGCGGUCUUUUAAGUCUGAUGUGAAAGCCUUCGGCUUAACCGGAGUAGUGCAUUGGAAACUGGAAGACUUGAGUGCAGAAGAGGAGAGUGGAACUCCAUGUGUAGCGGUGAAAUGCGUAGAUAUAUGGAAGAACACCAGUGGCGAAAGCGGCUCUCUGGUCUGUAACUGACGCUGAGGUUCGAAAGCGUGGGUAGCAAACAGGAUUAGAUACCCUGGUAGUCCACGCCGUAAACGAUGAAUGCUAGGUGUUGGAGGGUUUCCGCCCUUCAGUGCCGCAGCUAACGCAUUAAGCACUCCGCCUGGGGAGUACGACCGCAAGGUUGAAACUCAAAGGAAUUGACGGGGGCCCGCACAAGCGGUGGAGCAUGUGGUUUAAUUCGAAGCAACGCGAAGAACCUUACCAGGUCUUGACAUCCCGAUGCUAUUUCUAGAGAUAGAAAGUUACUUCGGUACAUCGGUGACAGGUGGUGCAUGGUUGUCGUCAGCUCGUGUCGUGAGAUGUUGGGUUAAGUCCCGCAACGAGCGCAACCCUUGUUGUCAGUUGCCAGCAUUAAGUUGGGCACUCUGGCGAGACUGCCGGUGACAAACCGGAGGAAGGUGGGGACGACGUCAAGUCAUCAUGCCCCUUAUGACCUGGGCUACACACGUGCUACAAUGGACGGUACAACGAGUCGCAAGACCGCGAGGUUUAGCUAAUCUCUUAAAGCCGUUCUCAGUUCGGAUUGUAGGCUGCAACUCGCCUACAUGAAGUCGGAAUCGCUAGUAAUCGCGAAUCAGCAUGUCGCGGUGAAUACGUUCCCGGGCCUUGUACACACCGCCCGUCACACCAUGAGAGUUUGUAACACCCAAAGCCGGUGGGGUAACCGCAAGGAGCCAGCCGUCUAAGGUGGGACAGAUGAUUGGGGUGAAGUCGUAACAAGGUAGCCGUAGGAGAACCUGCGGCUG